GGCCCCCUACGGGAGAAGCAGUGAGGAAUAUUGGUCAAUGGGAGAGAUCCUGAACCAGCCAAGCCGCGUGAGGGAAGACGGCCCUAUGGGUUGUAAACCUCUUUUGUCGGAGAACAAAACCCGGGACGUGUCCCGGACUGCGUGUAUCCGAAGAAAAAGCAUCGGCUAACUCCGUGCCAGCAGCCGCGGUAAUACGGAGGAUGCGAGCGUUAUCCGGAUUUAUUGGGUUUAAAGGGUGCGUAGGCGGGCAGUUAAGUCAGCGGUAAAAUUGCGGGGAUCAACCCCGACGAGCCGUUGAAACUGGG
rnacentral:rRNA from 1 species